rnacentral:lncRNA from 1 species
UGCAUUCCAGCCUGGGUGACAAGAGUGAAACUCCAUCUCAAAAAAAAGAAAAAGAAAAAAAGAAUGGAGUCCAAUUUCCCUUCCCUUGAAUAUGGGCUGCUUCUAGUAAUUAGCUUUUAAUAAAUGGGAUACAGAGGAACUGACGCAACAUGACUUCUGAGGCCAGGUUAUAAGAGCAGAUCAGCUGCCACCCAGGCUUUCUCUCCUUGGGACACUCAUACAUAGAUCCAGGUGCUGUGAUGCAAGGAAACCUAGGCCACACAGAGAGAGGCAUAUAUAGGUGAUCUAGCUGAAACCCCAGCUGUGAGGAAGCCUGCAGGCCCCAACCGUGGCUUGACUACAACUGCCUGAAAGAUCCCAGCAAGAAUUGCCUCGCUGAGUCCAGUCAACUGCAGGAACAGAGUGAGCUGACAUGCUGGACAGCUCCAGAUGGCAAGAAAUUGAGGUUGAUCCCUGCCAACAGUUUGUAAGAAACUGAAUCCCGUCAACAAGCAGACUUGAAAUAAUCUCAGAUUCCCCCCGCCUCCCAACCAAGAAGCAUCUGAGAGCUGGACACAGUGGCUCAAGCCUGUAAUCC